AAGAGAUGAAAACUGUUGCCCCAAGUUUGUCAAGACAAGCAUUUUUGCAGAUGUUGGAGAGCAGGACUGUUCUCUUUGGAAGGGAUGGGAAAAUACAUGGAGAUGUCUUCCAACGAAGCUUCGUUGAAUAUACAUUCUGCCAGUACCAAUGUGACAGAAUGGCCAACGUGGAACAGUUCACCUGCCCAGCAUGUACACCAAACAUGCUUGCUCUCUGUGCAGAUGGCAACAGAAAACAAUACCGAUUUCGGCAGUCAAAAGGGUCAGAGGAGCCAUAUUUUGAUGGCACCUUUAUCUCCAGAGACGCAGAUGUCCACCAUUUUGUUGAGGGCGUCAGAU